GCGAUGCGAUUGAGCCAUUGAGCGAUGGGCAGGGUUAACUGGACUUUUUCUCCUGCCUUGGGGGGGGGGGGGGGGGAUGUGGAUUCUUUUAAGAAUGUGGAUUUUUGGGUCAUCUUUGGCGCCCCCUAGAACGUAAACCAUGGUGUGCAGCAGCAUGAUUUUUACAACUUUGAAUGGCCAUGGGAUGUAGAUCGGCUUGAGCAAAUUUGGUGUCGGUGGGAAGAAAGCCUUAGGAGGAGUUAGCCACAUUCCAAUGUGUGCGAAUCGGCAAAAAAUGCGAAAUAGCCCUUUAACCGUACAUUUUACAGAUACGUGCCCAUUGACUUUUUCGUAGAUCUUAUUGAGAUACACGUGUGUGUCAAAUUUUGUGUCAUUUUGACAAAGCGUAUAGGCGUGACAGUCAACAAUGUGUUUUUUCAUCUUAGGGGACAAGAAAAAAUGGACUUUUUUCUCCUGCCAUGGGGGGGCGCUCUUUUCGGGAGUAAAAAUUCCUUUACAAAUGUGUUGAUGGCUGGACAUUGCAUCAUCCUAGAAAACUUGGAGGCCAGUGAGGACAAAAAUAAAAAGUUAUAAGACUAUUAAGAAUGUGGAUUUUUGGGUUAUCUUUGGCGCCCCCUAGAACGUAAACCGUGGAGUGCAGCGUCAUGAUUUGUACAACUUUUAAUGGCCAUGGGGUGUAGAUUGGCCUGAGCAAAUUUGGUGGCGGUGGAACUAAAGCCUUCGGAGGAGUUAGCGAAAUUCCAAUGUGUGCGGAUCGGGAAAAAAUGCAAAAUAACCCUUUAACCGUACAUUUGACAGAUACGUGCCCAUUGACUUUUUCGUAGAUCUUAUUGAGAUUCACGUGAUUGUCAAAUUUUGGGUCAAUAUGACAAAGCGUAUAGGCGUGACACUCAACAAUGUGUAUUUUCACCUUAGGGGACAAGAAAAAAUGGACUUUUUUCUCCUGCCAUGUGGGGGCGCUCUUUUGGGGAGUAAAAAUUCCUUCACAAAUGUGUUGAUGGCUGGACAUUGCAUCAUCCUAGAGAACUUGGAGGCCAGUGAGGACAAAAAUAAAAAGUUAUAAGACUUUUAAGACUGUGGAUUUUUGGGUUAUCUUUGGCGCCCCCUAGAACGUAAGCCGUGGGGUGCAGCGUCAUGAUUUGUACAACUUUUAAUGGCCAUGGGGUGUAGAUUGGCCUGAGCAAAUGUGGUGCCGGUGGAACGAAUGCCUUCGGAGGAGUUAGCGAAAUUCCAAUGUGUGCAGAUCGGCAAAAAAUGCGAAAUAACCCUCUAACCGUACAUUUCACAGAUGCGCCCGCGCUGACUUUUUCGUAGACCAUAUUGAGAUACACGUGUGUGUCAAAUUUUGUGUCAAUAUGACAAAGCGUACAGCCGUGACAGUCAAUAGUGUGAAUUUUCGCCUUAGGGGGCGCUAUGGAGCCAUUUUGAAUUUUAUUGUUUGGGCGACUUCAGAAUAUCGAAUUUUUCACCAGGCCCGGUCGUCCUGCCAAAUUUCAUGAGUUUUCGCCAGUGGGAAGUGGGCCAUUUUCCCCUUCAAAGGGGAGGAAAAAUAAGAAGAAAGAAAGAAAGAAAGAAAGAAAGAAAAAAAAGAAGAAAGAAAAACCUAUACAGGAAUAAUAGGGCUCUACGCCCGGCUGCUCUGCAGCUGGCUCGGGCCCUAAUAACUAGGACCCCGUUGGGGCACUGGCGGGCCCGAGCCGUGUCGCCCCCCCCCCCCCCCCAACGUGCUGCCUCCCCGUCCCAUUUGUGUCCUCUGGCCAUCGCCCUCUCUGGUAACGCCCAUCACUGCAAAGACCCUUUUCCUUCAUCAGCGUUUGCUGUUCUUCCUGCCAGUGCGUGUUGCUUUCACUUACACUUGCCACAGCCAGCCUCGUGAGUGCCUAGCCUAUUCGAUAUCACUGUCACCUACACAGGACAGUCAUUACCUUUCUAUUAAUACUUUGUGGUUUAAUUUCACAUUAAUUUCCAUAUUGUAUAAAUGACUGGAAAAAACUUGAGCCCCUGCCCCUGUAUAA
rnacentral:lncRNA from 1 species